CGAUGUGAGGGCGAUCUGGCUGCGACAUCUGUCACCCCAUUGAUAGCCAGGGUUGAUUCGGCUGAUCUGGCUGGGUGGGCCCCUUCCUCCCUCACCGCUCCAUGUGCGUCCCUCCCGAAGCUGCGCGCUCGGUCGAAGAGGACGACCUUCCCCGAUAGAGGCGUACCGUUCAUCGGUCAAGGGUAUACGGUAGCUGCGCUCCCCUGCUAGAACCUCCAAACAAGCACAAAAUGCACUGUUUCCUUAAAAGAGUUAUAGCACUGGUGCUUUUCACUAAAAAUUGGUAUUACUUUUCAUU
rnacentral:snRNA from 1 species